rnacentral:rRNA from 1 species
UACGUAGGGGGCGAGCGUUGUCCGGAUUUACUGGGUGUAAAGGGUGCGUAGGCGGGCUAGUAAGUCAGUGGUUAAAAACCGUUGCUUAACAACGGGGGUGCCAUUGAUACUAUUAGUCUAGAGUUCGGUAGGGAGAGCUGGAAUUCCUGGUGUAGUGGUGAAAUACGCAGAUAUCAGGAGGAAUACCGGAGGCGAAGGCGAGCUCUUGGGCCGCUACUGACGCUGAGGCACGAAAGCGUGGGGAUCAAACAGG